AAACAAUAUCAGCUUUUGGAUCAAAAUCAAUCAACACAUUUUAUCAUAGCUGUUAUCAAAUUUAAAUCGUGGAAUAUAAAUAUUAUAUUACUAUUAUUAUGCUCUCAAGACCCAAAUGUCAAGCCCAACAAGUCUAGUCGCCACCGCGAAUUAAGAUGUUUUAAUUUUCAGUAUUUACAAUUUUCCAAUAUAAUAUUUACUAUAAUCACAAUAUUUUAAUUUAUUAUACUAUAUUGUUAUUUGUUCACGAUUUUUGUACUUAACUUCUGAAGUACCGUACUGAGUACUUGGCUGUCGUUAAAUAAAAUGGUACAUAAUAUGACUUCGUAACACAGUGUUGAAAGGUUUUUUAUAAUAUUUGUGUUAUUAAUAAUGAUUUCUAAAUAUAUUUUUCUGUGACGAAAUUUCUUUCAAAUGUCUUCAAUGUUUGAAAUAACUGAUUUACAAAAAAUCGGAGUCGGCUUGGCAGGUUUUGGAAUAUCGUUUCUAUUCCUGGGCAUGUUAUUGCUGUUUGACAAAGGACUAUUAGCCAUUGGCAAUAUAUUGUUCAUAGUGGGUCUUAGCUGUGUUAUUGGUGUACAACGGACUUUAAAGUUCUUUUUCCAGAGGCAAAAAAUUAAAGCAUCUCUGUCGUUUUUUGGCGGGAUAUCAGUCGUUCUUUUUGGAUGGCCAAUCGUAGGAAUGCUAUUAGAAAUUUAUGGAUUUAUACUUUUGUUCAGUGGUUUUUUUCCAGUAGCAAUAAAUUUCAUGCGCCGUGUACCAUUAUUGGGGACUUUACUCAAUUUGCCUGGCAUAACUGGACUGUUAGAUCGAGUAGCGGGUGAUACGAGACGUACGAUGGUAUGAUUAACCAUUACAAAUAUUACAAUCAAAUAAAUUACUUCAUAACAUUUUGAUAUGACUUCAGUUGAUGUUAUACUUAAGUUAUUACGACAUAAUUCCUUCUAACUGGACAUUCCUGGGCUACUUGCUUCCAGUUACCUAUUUUACUGUGACUAAAUUACAUAAUUCAGUAUAUUAUAAUAUUAUCAAUAAAUUUAAUUAUAUUGAUAAUAAAUUUUAUUUUAUAAAUUCUCUAUUACAAAUUUAUUUUCAUUAUAUACAACUAAUUUUUAAGUUACUAGCCUUAACCUAAUGCGCAACAUUUGAUUUGAUAUCAAUAUAUAUUAUACAUUAAUUGUUAUUUUAUAAGACCAACUGUGUAUUAUUUGUAUUAUAAUAUGAUGUAUGUGGAACUUAAUCAUUAAGCCCAAAAACUCUCAUAAUUAAUGUCUUAAGUUAUGUCAACCCCCACUUGUUUCUCUGGACAUUGUGAACAUAAACAAAAUGUAGUCACACAAAAUCAUUUUUAACAUGUUAAAAUGAUGUUACAUGAAUGAGUUUUAUCUAUGUUGCUCUUGGGUUUGAGACAGAA